rnacentral:rRNA from 1 species
UGGGGAAUUUUCCGCAAUGGACGAAAGUCUGACGGAGCGACGCUGCGUGAAGGAUGAAGGCCCGUGGGUUGUAAACUUCUUUUCUCGAAGAAGAAAAAAAUGACGGUAUUCGAGGAAUAAGCAUCGGCUAACUCUGUGCCAGCAGCCGCGGUAAGACAGAGGAUGCAAGUGUUAUUCGGAAUGAUUGGGCGUAAAGAGUCUGUAGGCGGUUUAGAAAGUCUUUUGUGAAAUACUUCAGCUCAACUGAGGCUCCGCAAAAGAAACUUCUAGACUUGAGGAAAGUAGAGGUACAGGGAAUUUCCGGUGGAGCGGUGAAAUGCGUAGAUAUCGGAAGGAACACCAAUAUGGCGAAGGCACUGUACUGGGCUUUUCCUGACGCUCAGAGACGAAAGCUGAAGGAGUGAUUAGGAUUAGAUACCCUAGUAAUUUCAGCCGUAAACGAUGAAAACUCACUGUCGAGCCAAUAUAUGGAGCGGUGGUCAAGCUAACGCGUGAAGUUUUCCGCCUGGGGAUUACGCUUGCAAAAGUG